CGCAGCCGCGGUAAUUCCAGCUCCAAUAGCGUAUAUUAAAGUUGCUGCAGUUAAAAAGCUCGUAGUUGAAUUUCGGGACCAUCAUGUUGGUCGUGCCUAGGUACGUACUGGCAUUGUUGGUUUCUCCCUUCUGACGAACCAUGAUGUCAUUUAUUUGGUGUCGUGGGAAAUCAGGACUGUUACUUUAGAAAAAUUAGAGUGUUUAAAGCAGGCUCACGCUUGAAUACAUUAGCAUGGAAUAAUGAAAUAGGACGUUUGAUUCUAUCUUGUUGGUUUCUAGGAUCGAUGUAAUGAUUAAUAGGGAUAGUUGGGGGCAUUAGUAUUCAAUUGUCAGAGGUGAAAUUCUUGGAUUUAUUGAAGACUAACUACUGCGAAAGCAUUUGCCAAGGAUGUUUUCAUUAAUCAAGAACGAAAGUUAGGGGAUCGAAGACGAUCAGAUACCGUCGUAGUCUUAACCAUAAACUAUGC
rnacentral:misc_RNA from 1 species